rnacentral:rRNA from 1 species
AUUGAACGCUGGCGGCAGGCCUAACACAUGCAAGUCGAACGAGUGGCGGACGGGUGAGUAAUGUCUGGGAAACUGCCUGAUGGAGGGGGAUAACUACUGGAAACGGUAGCUAAUACCGCAUACUAUCGGAUGUGCCCACAUGGGAGUAGCUAGUAGGUGGGGUAAAGGCUCACCUAGGCGACGAUCCCUAGCUGGUCUGAGAGGAUGACCAGCCGCACUGGAACUGAGACACAGUCCAGACUCCUACGGGAGGCAGCAGUGGGGAAUGUUGCACAAUGGGCGCAAGCCGGAUUCAGCCAUGCCGCGUGUUUGAAGAAGGCCUUCGGGUUGUAAAGUACUUUCAGCGGGGAGGCGUUACCCGCAGAAGAAGCACCGGCUAACUCCGUGCCAGCCGCCGCGGUAAUAC